rnacentral:lncRNA from 1 species
CUGACCCCUAGUGGGAGCUGGGCAUCAUACACCAGCCUGGGUAAGACCCUUCACAAAGAUGCUUGGACCUUGACAUCUCCAGCUUGGUGUCCGUGAAGGUCGCUUUUGUCUGGUAUUUUGUCCCAGCUAUAAGAAAGGCAACUGAUCCAAAAGAUCCCCCUAGUCCGUCCUGUUGGCUGUUGACCUUCCCUUACAGAAGGAAAGGAUGGAGAGGGCUGCAGAUUACCCACGCCUGAGAAUCCAGCUUCCUGUCUCAACCUGGCAAAGACAAAUCUGAUGUUGGGCCAUAGAAAGCAGAUGGGCGUUGACCUUGAGUGAGAUGAGGCACUAAGGACAUUUCCGCUGCAGUUAAACCUUUUUAUACUCUGACUGUAUUUGGUAGUUACAUGCUCGAUGCCAGCCUAUGGGAUGGUGCCACCUACACUGAGUGGAUCUUCCUUCCUCAUUUAAAUGUCUACGAAAGAACCCUCAUAGACCCAGAGGUGCCUCCCUUGUGACUCCAAAUGCAACUAAGGCCAGGCAUAUUAUAAAGAGAAGACUCCUCCGCUGAACAGAGGACUGGGAACAUAGUGAGGGCUCAAUCUAUUGUAUUUUCCAAGAACAUCAGCUGAACAAACCAGAGACUGGAAGCAAGCAGCUGGAGUGGUGGAGUUAGGAACGCAAACCUGCCCAGCUCAGCAGACAGGUACCAGUUCUCACCGUACCAAAGCGAACCAUGUAGCAGUCUCCUGGGCAGUGAGGUCAAGUUCUCUGCACCAUGGAGGAGCUCCGGCCCCAGACUCCCCUGAGUACCUGCCGAAGAGAGAAGAGAGAUUCGUCUACCCUGAGCCUCCCGAGUCCGUGCAGGGGCAUAAUGAAGGGAGACAGGAUUCAUGCGCUCUGGAGCUGUUCCUCUCUGUCUGUGCCAAAGUUCUUGGGUGUAUGUGUGGUGCGAGCCUGCCGCUCUCAUUUGCAGCCAUUGUUCUCUCUAAAUGAGAAAAUGCAAAUGAGGCACUCAGGGUAUUGCGCCAUAACUCGCUGCAUAAAAUUCUUGACAUCAACACGAAGCUACUUAGCAUAAUUUCCCUGUUAAUAAACUGCCAA